GGGUGCGAUCAUACCAGCACCCCCCGCACCGGAUCCCAUCUGAACUCCGCAGUUAAGCGUGGUUGGGCGAGAGUAGUACUAGGAUGGGUGACCUCCUGGGAAGUCCUCGUGUUGCACCCC
rnacentral:rRNA from 1 species